GCCCAGACUCCUACGGGAGGCAGCAGUGGGGAAUAUUGCACAAUGGGGGAAACCCUGAUGCAGCAACGCCGCGUGAGUGAAGAAGUAUUUCGGUAUGUAAAGCCCUAUCGGCAGGGAAGAAGCAAGACGGUACCUGACUAAGAAGCCCCGGCUAACUACGUGCCAGCAGCCGCGGUAAUACGUAGGGGGCGAGCGUUAUCCGGAUUCACUGGGUGUAAAGGGAGCGUAGACGGCCAUGCAAGCCAGGGGUGAAAGCCCGGGGCCCAACCCCGGGACUGCCCUUGGAACUGCAUGGCUGGAGUGCGGGAGGGGCAGGCGGAAUUCCUGGUGUAGCGGUGAAAUGCGUAGAUAUCAGGAGGAACACCGGCGGCGAAGGCGGCCUGCUGGACCGCGACUGACGUUGAGGCUCGAAAGCGUGGGGAGCGAACAGGAUUAGAUACCCCGGUA
rnacentral:rRNA from 1 species